CAUCAAGUUGUUUUAUUCUUAUUAUGGCAUGUUUAUUCUUAUCAUAAUACUUUCCUCGGAGUCAUCUUAUGCCGGGAAUUGUACAUUCUUCGUAUCGCUAUUAUGUAUAACAAAUUUUUGGAGUCGCUGAUAUCAUCCCCGAUUGACAUCACCGUAGCUAUGAAGGCCUUGAAUAUUGAGAACAAAAAGAUUUGCCCCAAAUGCUUCAAAGUAUUGUGAAACGAAUGUUCUUUGAAACGUCAUCUUAAGAAUGUCUGCGAUAAGAUUCGUAAUCCCAAUGGCAAAUUCCAAUGCGAGAGAUGUAAUGAGAAGGCGUACAUUAGUAGAGGCAGGCUGAUGUAUCAUCAAAGAUACGAGUGCGGCAUACAGCCCUCGUUUAAAAGCAUAUCAAUCCACAUGGAUGUCUUUUGGAUGUCCUAAGGACGCCCUUUCUUUCAAUGCGGAAUAUGCAGAGGAUAUCCUAUUAUGUUCCUCAUACUUUUCCAGGAUGUUCUGAGGAAUAGCAAAUGAGCGCCUCACUAUACCUAGAAAUAUCCUCAGGAUAUUCCAUUUCAAAGUCCUACGGAUGUCCAUAAGAUGUCCGUAAGACAUCGUAAUUUUUGAAACGUCCAUAAUGCAUUCAAAAUUAAUCCAGAAUAUGUUAUCAAGGUACUUUAUUUUAAGGAUAACAUACUGAAUAUAAUUUAUAUAAGAU